AAAUUCAAAAGAUUUGAGAAUACUGUUUUAAUGCAUAGUUGAAUCAUGUAAUAAUAUAUGAUGAAGUUCAAAGAGGUUUGGAACCUUUGUUGUCUCCGUUUCUCUAAAGAAUAACAAUUUUAUAGUGGUUAGUCUAAUGAUUUAGGGAGUGUUUGCAGUUUUGCUAAAUUACUUUAUAAAAAAUUAGAACGAUGUCCAUGUACCAUGAAAAUGAAUUUAUCAUAAAUUAAUAUAAAUGUGUAAUGUGGUUAUAAAUUUUAAAACAAAUUAAAAUAUUAUAGGCUUCAUAUAUAGAGCAUUUACUGAAAACUCACUAUUUUCGUUGGGGGGUACACAUAGAUUUUGAGAAAAAAUCAAAAAAUUUGACAACACUGUUUUAAUACAUAUUUGAAUCAUGUAAUAAUAUAUGAUGAAGUUCAAAGAGGUUUGGAACCUUUGUUGUCUCUGUUUCUUUAAGGAAUAGCAAUUUUAUAGUGGUUAGUCCAAUGAUUUAGGGAGUAUUUGCAGUUUUGCUAAAAUAAUAGAUAAAAAAUUAGAACGAUGUCCAUGUACCAUGAAAAGAAGUUUAUUAUAAAUUAAUACAAAUGUAUAAUGUGGUUAUUAAUUUUAAAACGAAUUAAAAGAUUAUAGGCUUCAUAUAUAGAGCAUUUACCGAAAACUCACUAUUUGCGUAGGGGGGGGGUACACAUAGAUUUUGAGAAAAAUUCAAAAAAUUUGAGAAUACUGUUUAAAAAAAUAUUUGAAUCAUGUAAGAAAAUAUGAUGAAGUUCAAAGAGGUUUGGAACUUUUGUUAUCUGUGUUUCUCUAAGGAAUAGCAAUUUUAUAGUGGCUAGUCCAAUGAUUUAGGGAGUAUUUACAGUUUUGCUAAAUUAAUUGAUUAAAAAUUAGAACGAUGUCUAUGUACCAUGAAAAGAAGUUUAUCAUAAAUUAAUACAAAUUUAUAAUGUGGUUAUAAAUUUUAAAACGAAUUAAAAGAUUAUAUGCUUCAUAUAUAAAGCAUUUACCGAAGACUCACUAUUUUCGUAGGUGGGCACACAUAGAUUUUGAGAAAAAUUCAAAAAAUUUGACAAUACUGUUUUAAUGCAUAGUUGAAUCAUGUAAUAACAUAUGAUGAAGUUCAAAGAGGUCUGGCACCUUUGUUGUCUCCGUUUCUCUAAGGAAUAACAAUUUUAUAGUGGUUAGUCUAAUGAUUUAGGGAGUAUU
rnacentral:lncRNA from 1 species